CUAUAAGGAGAAGAGAAAAAUAAGGCAAAGCUGUGAUAGGUAAUAGAGCAGUAGUCACACAUUAACUGGGAAAAAGGGAUAUGUGCGAUUGUGGGCUUGCCACACUAACAUUGCUUUUGUCUGUAUUGAAACAUACCUGGGAAGUGAUCUGUUUUUGACAGAAAGAGAGACAGAGGGAGAGAGCAGGGGAGGGGCAGAGAGAAAAGGAGAGAAAGAAUCUCAAGCAGGCUCUACCAUUAUUGCUGAGUGGUGUGAGUUCUAUCUUAUGACCCUGAGACCAUGAACUGCACCAAAAUCAAGAGUCAGACACUUAACCAACUGAGCCAUCCAGGUGCCCCACUAUGAAGUGAUCUUGAUUUUUGAUUCCUUUCAUCACAGUCACUGAGUGCCCUCCUCUGCUGUUGGACUUCUAUGACUUUUUAUGUCCAAAAGGAGUACACCGUGUCCUGGCUCUCAGCUCAGGUGAGCCCUUAAUAACUCCAUAACUCCCAACCCAUUGCCACUAGGCCAACUCCAACAUGGCAGGGCUGCUUUCCUCCUACUCACCUGCUAUAUCAUUGCAGAUAAGAGAAAAAUUAUGACUCAGUUAAUAGUAGAGAUUGAUGGAACCCAGAAUGGACACUGGUGCCUAGUAAAUGUUGAUUAGUGCAUUCAUGUUACAGAAACCUCUAGUCUCUACUGAUGCACCCAAGAAGAGGGCCUUAUGUGUAAAAAUUGGGUAGACAUACACAAAGUCCAUUUCACAAUGACACAGGAAGGACUAAAUAAAAUCUGUCACUAAGGACUGAUGAAAGCAUGGGACAACCACUUCCCAACAUCUUAAAAAUAUACUAUUUUUGAUGUUGCUCAGUGUUAAUUUUAUUUGAAAACAAACAAACUGAUUAGAGAUAGGAGAGACAUGAUAGGCAUGGUACGUGGUUGGAGUAAAUCAAACGAAAGGACAUUCUGGCUGAGCCCAGCAGGAUCACAUGCAGGACAUCCAGGAGACUUCCAUCUCACAAUAGUAACUUUAAAAUACUUGUAAAAAAUAGAA